CAUUACUCAGGAUGCAAAAUCCUCCAGGAUGGCAAACGAUAGCACUUGUAUCUGGAAAAGAUGGCCGCAUUCAUGUUCAUGUGGGGAAGAUGGCCAGGAUUGUGUUCAUUGCUCGAUGCAGAAUUCACAAAGAAAAACAAAAUUUGGCUAACAGAAGUGUUCAAGAACUGAGUAUCACUGUGUUUAUCUACUGUCUACUUUAUUUCCAUAUUCUGUUUAAAGGUUUUUAUGUUGACAGUCUAAGACCGUUUGAUGAUUGUUCCUACUCACCCAGCAGUUUUAAACUCUAGCCCACUUUCAGGAAGAAAUGACUGAAUAUCCCAGAAAAUAAUCUGAUCAUCUGAGACCUCAGGCUUGGAACUCAUGGAAGUCCUACCCUAUUUUAUUCUUG
rnacentral:lncRNA from 1 species